rnacentral:rRNA from 1 species
UACGUAGGGUGCAAGCGUUAAUCGGAAUUACUGGGCGUAAAGCGUGCGCAGGCGGUUGUGCAAGACAGAUGUGAAAUCCCCGGGCUCAACCUGGGAAUUGCAUUUGUGACUGCACGGCUAGGGUGUGUCAGAGGGGGGUAGAAUUCCACGUGUAGCAGUGAAAUGCGUAGAGAUGUGGAGGAAUACCGAUGGCGAAGGCAGCCCCCUGGGAUAACACUGACGCUCAUGCACGAAAGCGUGGGGAGCAAACAGG